UACAGAGGUCCCGAGCGUUGUUCGGAUUCAUUGGGCGUAAAGCGCGCGUAGGCGGUUUGGUAAGCCGGGUGUGAAACCUCCAAGCUCAACUUGGAGCGGCCACUCGGAACUGCCAUGACUCGAGUCAGGUAGGGGAACACGGAAUUCCAGGUGUAGCGGUGAAAUGCGUAGAGAUGUGGAGGAACACCAGUGGCGAAGGCGACUUUCUGGGCUGUAACUGACGCUGAGGCGCGAAAGCGUGGGGAGCAAACAGG
rnacentral:rRNA from 1 species